UGGGGAAUAUUGCACAAUGGGCGCAAGCCUGAUGCAGCCAUGCCGCGUGUAUGAAGAAGGCCUUCGGGUUGUAAAGUACUUUCAGUCGGGAGGAAGGUGGUAAGGUUAAUAACCUUAUCAAUUGACGUUACCGACAGAAGAAGCACCGGCUAACUCCGUGCCAGCAGCCGCGGUAAUACGGAGGGUGCAAGCGUUAAUCGGAAUUACUGGGCGUAAAGCGCACGCAGGCGGUUGAUUGAGUCAGAUGUGAAAUCCCCGGGCUUAACCCGGGAAUUGCAUCUGAUACUGGUCAGCUAGAGUCUUGUAGAGGGGGGUAGAAUUCCAUGUGUAGAGGUGAAAUGCGUAGAGAUGUGGAGGAAUACCGGUGGCGAAGGCGGCCCCCUGGACAAAGACUGACGCUCAGGUGCGAAAGCGUGGGGAGCAAACAGG
rnacentral:rRNA from 1 species